GCCCAAUGAUUAAUUUAAUGGCUGCAGUAUAUUGACUGUACAAAGGUAGCAUAAUUAUUUGCUUUAUAAAUUAAAGCUUGUAUGAAUGGUAUAAUGUAAAUAUAACUGUCUUUUAUUUAUAAUUAAAAUUUGCUUUUUCAGUGAAGAAGCUGAAAAUUUUUAGAAAGACGAGAAGACCCUAAUGAGUUUUAUAUAUAAUUAUAUACUAUUAUAAUUAUAUAUUUUGUUGGGGUAAUAAAAGAAAAAAUCUUCUUUUUUAUUAAAAAAAUAAUAUUUAUUGAUCCAUUAAUAAUGAAUGAAAGUUUAAAUUACCAUAGGGAUAACAGCAUAAUUCUUUUUAAGAGUACAUAUCGACAAAAGAGAUUGUGACCUCGAUGUUGAAUUAAGAAAAUUAUAUAAUGCAGAAAUUAUAUAAAUAAGUC
rnacentral:rRNA from 1 species